AGGGUUGGCCGCCUUGAGAAGCUGCGAAGAUGGCGGAGUAAGGCCUGCCGCUGUAAACUGGCCUCUGGGCCGGGGGCGCACAGCCCCCGGGAGGCCGAGUGCAUCUGUUGGACCGUGCUAGGUGAGCCGAGAAGGCCAGUGACGGUGGGACGAGCAGGCGCCGAGGAGGUGGCGUGGCCCAGCCGGGCCGGGUACGGAAGCGCGCAGGAACAGCCGGCCUCGGCCUCGGCUGGGUGGGGGUUCCAACCUCGGCGGCUCCAGGGCGGCGGUCACCCGCCUUCUGGGAGAAGAAAAAAAAGAGAUCGGCCAGAGGAAAGGAACUAACCGAACAUUCUUCCUCCCUACCUUACAGAGGGGAGUGGUCAUCUAUACUAAAGCAAAGUGUCAUGCGCGUCUGUGCGAAGAGACCACCAAACAGGCUUUGUGUUCCUUAUCACAGGAAGAAAAUUUUCCUUGACCUUUAGGUGCUUUUAUAUUCAUCUCAAAAACAAAAUUCUGAACUCAGGACUUGGCAAGUGUCUCUAUGUUGUCUCCUAGAGUGGGUAGUCCUGCUUCUUUUACCCAGUUACUUUCCCUAUUCUUGAAAUGUGGCUAUCACUUCUCUACACAUUACCUCCAUGAUUUGGAAUGGAAAAGGCCACUUUUCUUUUUGUUCUGCCUCUCAAAUUCAACACAGAGGAGCUCCUAGGAUUCCAGUUAUCCUGCUGACAUCUCCAGGAAGAAAGAAGCAACUCACAUGGGUCUUCUGCUGUUUGCUGAAUUAUAAAGACAUCAUUUUGCAAGCUGAAGGCUGAGUUUCAUUUGAAACAGGUGCUUAGGUGGUGGUAUUUGUGAAUACUUUUCAUUCCAAGCAAGAAGACUAAAGAAGUAGCAAGUGUGGAUGACUUCAGGGUUUAAAAAAAAUGUCUUCCAGUUUCAGCCACUACCAUGAUAAGCACAGUUGAGACUGCAGCAGUAAAUUCCAAAUAUGUGUUUCUAAUUUGAUGUGAAAGAUACUAAAAAUUUAUAUUUGUAUAUUUAAAUCCUGGCUCAUCCUGUGACAUAGAUUUACUGAAUAGGAACAAAGGCCUAAUUUUAAACAAAAACCUAGGCCGGGUGCGGUGGUUCAUGCCUGUAAUCCCAACACUUCGGGAGGCCAAGGCAGGUGAAUCACCUGAGGUUGGGAGUUUGAGACCAGCUUGACCAACAUGGAGAAACCCCAUCUCUACUAAAAAUAGAAAAUUAGCCGGGCGUGGUGGUACAUGCCUGUAAUCCCAG
rnacentral:antisense_RNA from 1 species